rnacentral:rRNA from 1 species
CCUACGGGAGACAGCAGUGAGGAAUAUUGGUCAAUGGACGAGAGUCUGAACCAGCCAAGUAGCGUGAAGGAUGACUGCCCUAUGGGUUGUAAACUUCUUUUAUAUGGGAAUAAAACGUUCCACGUGUGGGAUUUUGUAUGUACCAUAUGACUAAGGAUCGGCUAACUACGUUCCAGCAGCCGCGGUAAUACGGAGGAUCCGAGCGUUAUCCGGAUUUAUUGGGUUUAAAGGGAGCGUAGGUGGAUUGUUAAGUCAGUUGUGAAAGUUUGCGGCUCAACCGUAAAAUUGCAGUUGAAACUGGCAGUCUAGAGUACAGUAGAGGUGGGCGGAAUUCGUGGUGUAGCGGUGAAAUGCUUAGAUAUCACGAAGAACUCCGAUUGCGAAGGCAGUUCACUGGACUGCAACUGACACUGAGGCUCGAAAGUGUGGGUAUCAAACAGGAUUAGAUACCCGUGUAGUC